rnacentral:rRNA from 1 species
AUUGAACGCUGGCGGCAUGCUUUACACAUGCAAGUCGAACGGUAACAGGUUAAGCUGACGAGUGGCGAACGGGUGAGUAAUGCAUCGGAACGUGCCCGAUCGUGGGGGAUAACGCAGCGAAAGCUGCGCUAAUACCGCAUACGAUCGGAGGAUGAAAGCGGGGGACCGUAAGGCAUCGCUCGAUCGGAACGGCCGAUGUCAGAUUAGGUAGUUGGUGGGGUAAAGGCCCACCAAGGCUUCGAUCAGUGGCUGGUCUGAGAGGAUGAUCAGCCACACUGGGACUGAGACACGGCCCAGACUCCUACGGGAGGCAGCAGUGGGGAAUUUUGGACAAUGGGGGCAACCCUGAUCCAGCCAUUCCGCGUGAGUGAAGAAGGCCUUCGGGUUGUAAAGCUCUUUUGUCCGGGAAGAAACGGUUUCACCUAAUACGUGAGACUACUGACGGUACCGGAAGAAUAAGGACCGGCUAACUACGUGCCAGCCGCCGCGGUAA